ACGAACGCUGGCGGCAUGCCUAACACAUGCAAGUCGAACGAAGCCUUCGGGCCUAGUGGCGCACGGGUGCGUAACGCGUGGGAAUCUGCCCCUUGCUUCGGAAUAACAGUUAGAAAUGACUGCUAAUACCGGAUGAAGUCUUCGGACCAAAGAUUUAUCGGCAAGGGAUGAGCCCGCGUAGGAUUAGGUAGUUGGUGGGGUAAAGGCCUACCAAGCCGACGAUCCUUAGCUGGUCUGAGAGGAUGAUCAGCCACACUGGGACUGAGACACGGCCCAGACUCCUACGGGAGGCAGCAGUGGGGAAUAUUGGACAAUGGACGCAAGUCUGAUCCAGCAAUGCCGCGUGAGUGAUGAAGGCCUUAGGGUUGUAAAGCUCUUUUACCAGGGAUGAUAAUGACAGUACCUGGAGAAUAAGCGCCGGCUAACUCCGUG
rnacentral:rRNA from 1 species